rnacentral:rRNA from 1 species
AGAGUUUGAUCCUGGCUCAGGACGAACGCUGGCGGCGUGCUUAACACAUGCAAGUCAAGGAGAAAAGAAAUCUUCGGAAUUCUUAGUAAACUGGCGAACGGGUGAGUAACACGUAGAUAACCUGCCCUUAAGACGGGGAUAACAUUGCUAACGCGAUGCUAAUACCGGAUGAUGCAAUUUGAUCGCAUGGUCGAAUUGUUAAAGUUGGCUUCGGCUAACGCUUAAGGAUGGAUCUGCGUCCCAUUAGUUAGUUGGUGAGGUAGUGGCUCACCAAGACAGCGAUGGGUAGCCGGCCUGAGAGGGUGAUCGGCCACACUGGGACUGAGAUACGGCCCAGACUCCUACGGGAGGCAGCAGUGAGGAAUAUUGCGCAAUGGCCGAAAGGUUGACGCAGCAACGCCGCGUGAGGGAUGAAGCAUUUAGGUGUGUAAACCUCUGUUAGGAGGGACGAAAAAGUCUGUUUCGAAUAGGUGCAGACCUUGAUGGUACCUCCAGAGAAAGCCCCGGCUAACUCCGUGCCAGCAGCCGCGGUAAUACGGGGGGGGCAAGCGUUGUCCGGAAUUAUUGGGCGUAAAGGGCGCGUAGGCUGGAUGAUCAGUCCAGGGUGAAAACUUGCGGCUUAACCGUAAGCCUGCCUUGGAUACUGUCAUUCUUGAGUUCGGAAGAGGGAAGUGGAAUUCCUGGUGUAGCGGUGAAAUGCGUAGAUAUCAGGAAGAACACCGGUGGCGAAGGCGGCUUCCUGGUCCGAUACUGACGCUGAGGCGCGAAAGCGUGGGGAGCGAACAGGAUUAGAUACCCUGGUAGUCCACGCCGUAAACGAUGGGUACUAGGUGUUGGCUCGUUUGAGGGUCAGCGCCGUAGCUAACGCACUAAGUGCCCCGCCUGGGAAGUACGAUCGCAAGAUUGAAACUCAAAGGAAUUGACGGGGGCCCGCACAAGCGGUGGAGCAUGUGGUUUAAUUCGAUGCAACGCGAAGAACCUUACCUGGGCUUGAACCGCAGUUGACAGCUUCUGAAAGGGAGUUUUCCUUCGGGACAACUGUAGAGGUGCUGCAUGGCUGUCGUCAGCUCGUGUCGUGAGAUGUUGGGUUAAGUCCCGCAACGAGCGCAACCCUUGUCCUUAGUUGCCAUCAGGUAAUGCUGGGAACUCUAAGGAGACUGCCCCGGCUAACGGGGAGGAAGGUGGGGAUGACGUCAAGUCCUCAUGGCCCUUACGUCCAGGGCUACACACGUGCUACAAUGGCCGGUACAAUGGGCAGCGAUACUGCGAAGUUUAGCUAAUCCCCAAAACCGGUCUCAGUUCGGAUUGCAGUCUGCAACUCGACUGCAUGAAGUCGGAAUCGCUAGUAAUCGUGGAUCAGCAUGCCACGGUGAAUACGUUCCCGGGCCUUGUACACACCGCCCGUCACGCCAUGGAAGUUGGUAGCACCCGAAGCCAAUGGCCCAACCUUUUAUUAGGAGGGAGUUGUCGAAGGUGAGACUGAUGACUGGGGCGAAGUCGGAACAAGGUA